UACAGAGACUGCAAGCGUUAUUCGGAUUCACUGGGCGUAAAGGGUGCGCAGGCGGCCGUGUGUGUCAGGUGUGAAAGCCCCGGAGCUUAACUCCGGAAUUGCGCCUGAAACUACAUGGCUAGAGCAUUGGAGAGGGUAGCGGAAUUCACGGUGUAGCAGUGAAAUGCGUAGCAUAUCGUGGAGGAACACCAGAGGCGAAGGCGGCUACCUGGACAAUUGCUGACGCUCAGGCACGAAAGCGUGGGGAGCAAAAGGG
rnacentral:rRNA from 1 species